AGAAAGGAAAGGGUGAACUGGGAGGA
rnacentral:piRNA from 1 species